UGAGGAAUAUUGGUCAAUGGUCGGGAGACUGAACCAGCCAAGCCGCGUGAGGGAUGAAGGUACAGAGUAUCGUAAACCUCUUUUGUCAGGGAACAAAAGGCGCCACGUGUGGCGCUCCGAGUGUACCUGAAGAAAAAGCAUCCGCUAACUCCGUGCCAGCAGCCGCGGUAAUACGGAGGAUGCGAGCGUUAUCCGGAUUUAUUGGGUUUAAAGGGUGCGUAGGCGGCGAGUUAAGUCAGCGGUAAAAGCCCGGGGCUCAACCCCGGCCCGCCGUUGAAACUGGCUUGCUUGAGUUGGAGAGAAGUAGGCGGAAUGCGCGGUGUAGCGGUGAAAUGCUUAGAUAUCGCGCAGAACUCCGAUUGCGAAGGCAGCCUACCGGCUCCACACUGACGCUGAGGCACGAAAGCGUGGGUAUCGAACAGGAUUAGAUACC
rnacentral:rRNA from 1 species